rnacentral:tRNA from 1 species
AGAGAGGUAGCUCAGUGCUAGAGCACAGGACUUGCUUUCUGUGGGCCCCAGCACUGACUGCCCUGUGCCAGAGCUGAGCAGUGUUUGGGCCUCUCUU